rnacentral:rRNA from 1 species
GACGAACGCUGGCGGCGUACCUAAUACAUGCAAGUAGAACGCUGAAGGAGGAGCUUGCUUCUCUGGAUGAGUUGCGAACGGGUGAGUAACGCGUAGGUAACCUGCCUGGUAGCGGGGGAUAACUAUUGGAAACGAUAGCUAAUACCGCAUAAUAGUAGAUGUCGCAUGACAUUUGCUUAAAAGGUGCAAUUGCAUCACUACCAGAUGGACCUGCGUUGUAUUAGCUAGUUGGUGAGGUAACGGCUCACCAAGGCAACGAUACAUAGCCGACCUGAGAGGGUGAUCGGCCACACUGGGACUGAGACACGGCCCAGACUCCUACGGGAGGCAGCAGUAGGGAAUCUUCGGCAAUGGACGGAAGUCUGACCGAGCAACGCCGCGUGAGUGAAGAAGGUUUUCGGAUCGUAAAGCUCUGUUGUAAGAGAAGAACGAGUGUGAGAGUGGAAAGUUCACACUGUGACGGUAUCUUACCAGAAAGGGACGGCUAACUACGUG